rnacentral:rRNA from 1 species
AACGAACGCUGGCGGCAGGCUUAACACAUGCAAGUCGAACGCAUCGCAAGAUGAGUGGCAGACGGGUGAGUAACGCGUGGGAAUCUACCUAGUUCUACGGAACAACAGUUGGAAACGACUGCUAAUACCGUAUACGCCCUAUGGGGGAAAGAUUUAUCGGAAUUAGAUGAGCCCGCGUAAGAUUAGCUAGUUGGUGGGGUAAUGGCCUACCAAGGCGACGAUCUUUAGCUGGUCUGAGAGGAUGAUCAGCCACACUGGGACUGAGACACGGCCCAGACUCCUACGGGAGGCAGCAGUGGGGAAUAUUGGACAAUGGGCGCAAGCCUGAUCCAGCCAUGCCGCGUGAGUGAUGAAGGCCUUAGGGUUGUAAAGCUCUUUCACCGAUGAAGAUAAUGACGGUAGUCGGAGAAGAAGCCCCGGCUAACUUCGUGCCAGCAGCCGCCGCGGUAA